rnacentral:misc_RNA from 1 species
GAUGAAGAACGUAGCGAAAUGCGAUAAGUAGUGUGAAUUGCAGAAUUCAGUGAAUCAUCGAAUAUUUGAACGCACAUUGCGCCCCUUGGUAUUCCAUGGGGCAUGCCUGUUCGAGCGUCAUUUGUACCUUCAAGCUCUGCUUGGUGUUGGGUGUUUGUCUCGCCUCUGCGUGUAGACUCGCCUCAAAACAAUUGGCAGCCGGCGUAUUGAUUUCGGAGCGCAGUACAUCUCGCGCUUUGCACUCAUAACGACGACGUCCAAAAGUACAUUUUUACACUCUUGACCUCGGAUCAGGUAGGGAUACCCGCUGAACUUAAGCAUAUCAAUAAGCGGA